UACGUAGGUGGCAAGCGUUGUCCGGAUUUACUGGGCGUAAAGAGCGCGCAGGCGGUCGUUCAAGUCGCGUGUGAAAGCCCCCGGCUCAACUGGGGAGGGUCACUCGAUACUGAUCGACUCGAAGGCAGGAGAGGGUAGUGGAAUUCCCGGUGUAGUGGUGAAAUGCGUAGAUAUCGGGAGGAACACCAGUGGUGAAGGCGACUACCUGGCCUGUUCUUGACGCUGAGGCGCGAAAGCUAGGGGAGCAAACGGG
rnacentral:rRNA from 1 species